rnacentral:lncRNA from 1 species
AUGGGGAGUUACCAUCUAUCAGAGCUCCCAGCUGAUUCUAAUACCUUCUUCUCUCUAAUUACAGCCUCUGUUACCAGCCUUCCCUUUUGUUUCAGCAGUCAGUCAAGCAGCGAAGCCUUAUCUCGUCUGCAUAUGAUGUUCAAAAAGGGCCUGCUGGAAGAUCCAAGUCCAGUCUGCACUCUUGAAGCACCUGCUGUGCAGGAGGUGAAUGUUGACAGAAGGGAAGCUGAAUGGACUCAAUCAACACGCAUGGAGAAGAUGGGUGCAGUGGUGAGAGAUAUGCAGCCUGUUGCUGAAGGACUGGAUGAAAUCAUCGUUCAGGGGUUGAUAGUCUGCAAAAGCUUCAUAGACUCUGUACAAUAUAAGGAGGUUGUGCAGAUGGAAGUUGUUUUAUAUGUACCUCAUAAUAAUUUUCUUAGUAAAACAAGCAGACUCUUGCUGUUCCUUCAUGAAAUAAAAAUGGGCUAG